rnacentral:lncRNA from 1 species
CGACGCCCGAGGACCCGACGGAGCUACACCCGCUAGUUCAGCCAGGAGGCCCUGCGCGGCUCCGGGGAGAGCUGGGUGGUUAUGCCACCUCAUUAGACACAUUGGUGGACGAUGCCGCGGAUUAGCGGGUGCGAGUGAUUCAAGGAAAUCCGACUGGAGGGAACACACGCUGCGAUGCACCCUCUCCUCUUCCAUUGAGCCAGGGGUGACCUUGAGAGACUCAGGCCACCUCACCAGGCUCUACCAGGAACAGCGUCUACAGCUGGUAGAGAGCACGGGCUGCAGAGAGGUAAAGAUGGGGUUCGGAAGCCAAGGCUCCCCUUGUUGCAUGGGUGACAUCAGGCAAGCUACUCAACCUCUAACCCUGGCUUCCCCUUCUGUAUACUGGAGACAGUAUCGGCCCCACAGGCACUUGUGGAGCAAGUGGGUUUGAGCUGAGCUCCUCUGAAAAUCAGAGGCACACUCAGAGAGUAGCUCAGAAAACCAGGAUGUGUCAGUUUCAUUUGCUGGGAAGCAGAAGCCAAGAUAGAAUUAGAAGUGCAAUGUCUGUGAAGGAAGAAUAAAGGGAAAAGGAAACAGGAGUGGGGCAGGGGGCAGACCAAAAGGAAGACAGACAAGUGUGAGAAGGAGCCCCACAGUGCAGUGUAAGCUUAAGAAGGUGUGGAGAGGAUGGGAGUCACUCACUGGGCAGGAAUGGCCCAGCUCCAGCACCUUGCUAUGACCAGCCAGCUGCUGGGAACAGGCCAGGAAGAGUGUGGCCUUAGCGCAAACACUGGGGUGGAUCUCGAGAUGAAGGUGUGGCCGCUGGAAGCUGUCACUUCACCACUCCUCUUCUGAAGAGAGAGCUGAGCCCUGCACAUGGGAGCAUUGGUGAAAAGGGUGGUAGACGUUUAUCAGUAACCUUACUGGUUUUGUGCUCCAUCCUCCAUCUCCCAAAGUCCCCCUGACCUUGCCUUCAGCUCCAGGAAUGGCCACAUGACUCAGACAAAGCCAACCAGCCAUCCCAUUUCAGUGGCCAGUGAUGAAUGAUUCAGUGUUUACCCAAACGCAUCCAAUCAGGGUGAAUCUGAGGACAUUUGCUGGGGAGGCUGGGACACAGAUAAUCUCUUUUCUGACAGAUGGUAACAAGAAAGUAGGUAGCUGCAGGGGCUGCUGGCAGCCAUCUUGAGACAUGAAAGGUGUCCAAAUUGGGAUGAAUUCAGCACUGAAGAUGGUGGUACAGAGAAACAGGAGAUAGGGCCUUUGAUCACAUUGUUGGAUGGCUGGUUAAGCCUCUCCUGAAAUCCAUUCUACUGCUGGACUUUACAGUUCAUAAACUAAUAAAUCCUCUUUACUGUUUGAAGCAGUUGUGUCAGGUGUCCUGUUACGUAUAAGAAAGGCCUCUGAUUUGAUCAGCAAUAGGGAACUGGAUGUCCUCUGAGCUCCAAAAGUCAGCACAGGCCUAAUGCUCAGGCGUUAUGGAGCCUCGGACUGAUGAAAGGGUGGUAUGGGCAUCCAUGACUGCUUUUGGGACCUCAGGGGAGCAGUGUGUGAAUGUUCAUUUCAGAGUAAUGACAGCAACUCCACGUGUCUGCAUCCUUUUACGCCCAGCCACUCCCUUUCCUAUGACCAGCUGCUGUCUUCACCCUCUCGCCUGUAUCUUUUCUCCAUUACAUAGAUCCUCCUAACUCACACUUCCUCCUUCCUGAGUCGAGUUUGCAAGACUGAUUCCAGAUUCACCUUGUGAUUAUCCUAACGCAUCUCUUACCUUCAAUAACUUCCAAGGGCCUUAUCCUCUCUUCAUUUCCCAAUUCAAAUUUCCGGGAGCAGGACUUGGAUUAUCCCAGCUCUUGCCUAUUUAGACAACCUCAGAGAUUCUAUUUCCACUGUAUGUGGAGGGGACUGAGUAUUGGUACUUUUGAAAAGUUUCUUGGAUGGUUCAAGUGUGCAGCCAGAGUCAAGAACCCCUGGAUUAGUAGAGCUUUCCAGGCCAGCUGACCCCACAGUCGGCCCUUGGGUCAAGUUCAAGCUCAAUCCAGUCAGCUAAGAGCAGAGCCACAGGGUCUCACUAUGCCCAAAGUCCCUUCCAUUGGCAGAAUCUGU